rnacentral:rRNA from 1 species
GAUGAACGCUGGCGGCGUGCCUAAUACAUGCAAGUCGAGCGAACGGACGAGAAGCUUGCUUUUCUGAUGUUAGCGGCGGACGGGUGAGUAACACGUGGAUAACCUACCUAUAAGACUGGGAUAACUUCGGGAAACCGGAGCUAAUACCGGAUAAUAUUUUGAACCGCGUGGUUCAAAAGUGAAAGACGGUCUUGCUGUCACUUAUAGAUGGAUCCGCGCUGCAUUAGCUAGUUGGUAAGGUAACGGCUUACCAAGGCAACGAUGCAUAGCCGACCUGAGAGGGUGAUCGGCCACACUGGAACUGAGACACGGUCCAGACUCCUACGGGAGGCAGCAGUAGGGAAUCUUCCGCAAUGGGCGAAAGCCUGACGGAGCAAAGCCGCGUGAGUGAUGAAGGUCUUCGGAUCGUAAAACUCUGUUAUUAGGGAAGAACAUAUGUGUAAGUAACUGUGCACAUCUUGACGGUACCUAAUCAGAAAGCCACGGCUAACUACGUG